GUGAGCUUUACUCAUUUCUGCUUACUUUGUUGACCUUACUUUAAGAAACUUAGUAAAGAACACUUUUUGGUGAGUAAAGUUAUUAAACUUAUUAUCUCAAGUAAGCUUUACUUUAAAAAAAUGAGUGAGGCGGACUCGGAAGAAACUCGGGCGGACUCGGCAGCACUCGGCUCGAAUACGCAUGCGCAGUCGACCACUGAAGACGUUCUUUGGCCGAGACGGAUUGGCGGCAGCGAGAAGGCAGUGCAGGUGUGCGAGUUACUUUAAGGCUUUGAAAAACCUGGCAUUGAAUUAUUCUGGCUGAAUUCUGUCACUUAUCAAGCAAAAAUCUGAGUUGCAAUCAGAGUUCUUCAAAGAUCUCGACAAAUACACUCCUCGCUUCCUGAAGAAGUUCAAGACCCAGAGGGGGAAAGUGUCGGACAGAAACUUGAAUAUCUGCAACAAGUCACACCUGGGAGUACAGAUGUGACUGGGAGGUGAACAGCAGUCCUCCGUGGCUCUCCCGUCAACCUUGGAGAUGACAACGCAGACUUCUUCAAGAAUUUGUGUGAGUUUAGGAUGGCGUGAAGCUUCGAUUUGACUCUAUGGAAACACAGCAGAUGCCACCAAAGGGUCCUGAUCGGGGCGUGUUGUGAUGCAACUGCAUCGACCUGUUCUCAGGCCCUUCUACAUUCUGUUGUUUACAUUUGCUCUAUUAUUGUUGUUCCAUUCAAAUAUCCCUAUUUGUAAAUAUGAUAAUUCAUAUUCUUUAUUAUUAGCUUUUGCAAUCAUUCAGUGAAUCACAUGAUCAAUGAAUUAAUCAUCACACUCACUCCUGAGCAUCUUUCACUUGAUUAUCUAAUAAUAUCAGAAUCCAAGUAACCAUUGUGUGUUCUACCAUAGAAAUGCAACGUGAAAUUUGACAUGUAAUUGUGUUUUUUAUGCUGCUCUUGUUAUUAGGACUCUCAUGACCUUCUGGACGUGUCCCACACCUCCAUUGGGACCCUGACGGUGCUGAAGACAUCGUGGCCUCCUCACUCGCUGGACCUGGAGUCUACAACUACUGCCAUCGUUUUGGGAGGAACAGUCGUGAUGGGUGACCGUGAUAAUCUUCCCCGUGCCGUGUGGCUACUCUUCGGACUUAUUUACCCCUGAAUUUGGAGUAUCCUCAACGAGUGAGGAACACCUUCUGAAUUUAUUCAUAGAGUGCUUCUCACUUGGACCAAAAACCCUAAAAUACAAUCACUCAAAAAUCUACUGAUGCCGUAAGGGAAUGUGUUCAUGAUGUGCAGUCAGGCCCGAGAACUUCACCCUUCUAUCUCCAAUAGAACUCUUUUAUAGAAAAUGUCUGUUUUUGUUGUUUUUCUGUAGUUAAAUUUAGCAAAUGCCGAAAACGCUGUGUUCAUCAUAUUUCUGCGUUACAAAACCUAAUCUGGCAACAUGUUCAGCGUUUUAAGCACGUUGAUUGAGUUUUAAAACAUGUGUUUUUCUUCUAAAUAAACGUUGUCUUCCAUUGUAA